AAAGUGGAGCAAUCCACGAGUACAGUGGCGCACGGGUGAGUAACACGUGAAUGAUCUACCUCCGAGUGGGGAAUAACUGAGAGAAAUCUUAGCUAAUACCGCAUAAUACCCACGGGUCAAAGCAGCAAUGCGCUUGGAGAGGAGUUCGCGGCCGAUUAGUUAGUUGGCGGGGUAAUGGCCCACCAAGACGAUGAUCGGUAUCCGGCCUGAGAGGGCGCACGGACACACUGGAACUGAAACACGGUCCAGACUCCUACGGGAGGCAGCAGUGGGGAAUUUUGCGCAAUGGGGGAAACCCUGACGCAGCAACGCCGCGUGGAGGAUGAAAUCCCUUGGGAUGUAAACUCCUUUCGAUAGGGAAGAUUAUGACGGUACCUAUAGAAGAAGCCCCGGCUAACUUCGUGCCAGCAGCCGCGGUAAUACGAGGGGGGCAAGCGUUGUUCGGAAUUAUUGGGCGUAAAGGGUGCGUAGGCGGCCUGACAAGUCUGAUGUGAAAUCCCUGGGCUCAACCCAGGGCCUGCAUCGGAAACUGUCGGGCUUGAGUAUGGGAGAGGUGAGUGGAAUUUCCGGUGUAGCGGUGAAAUGCGUAGAUAUCGGAGGGAACACCUGUGGCGAAAGCGGCUCACUGGACCAUUACUGACGCUGAGGCACGAAAGCUAGGGGAGCAAACAGGAUUAGAUACCCUGGUAGUCCUAGCCCUAAACGAUGAUUGCUUGAUGUGGCAGGUACCCAAUCCUGCCGUGUCGAAGCUAACGCGAUAAGCAAUCCGCCUGGGGAGUACGGCCGCAAGGCUGAAACUCAAAGGAAUUGACGGGGGCCCGCACAAGCGGUGGAGCAU
rnacentral:rRNA from 1 species